rnacentral:rRNA from 1 species
GAUGAACGCUGGCGGCGUGCCUAAUACAUGCAAGUCGAGCGAACAGACGAGGAGCUUGCUCCUCUGACGUUAGCGGCGGACGGGUGAGUAACACGUGGAUAACCUACCUAUAAGACUGGGAUAACUUCGGGAAACCGGAGCUAAUACCGGAUAAUAUAUUGAACCGCAUGGUUCAAUAGUGAAAGACGGUUUUGCUGUCACUUAUAGAUGGAUCCGCGCCGCAUUAGCUAGUUGGUAAGGUAACGGCUUACCAAGGCAACGAUGCGUAGCCGACCUGAGAGGGUGAUCGGCCACACUGGAACUGAGACACGGUCCAGACUCCUACGGGAGGCAGCAGUAGGGAAUCUUCCGCAAUGGGCGAAAGCCUGACGGAGCAACGCCGCGUGAGUGAUGAAGGUCUUCGGAUCGUAAAACUCUGUUAUUAGGGAAGAACAAAUGUGUAAGAAACUAUGCACGUCUUGACGGUACCUAAUCAGAAAGCCACGGCUAACUACGU